rnacentral:rRNA from 1 species
CCUACGGGAGGCAGCAGUGAGGAAUAUUGGUCAAUGGCCGGAAGUCUGAACCAGCCAAGUCGCGUGCGGGACGACUGCCCUAUGGGUUGUAAACCUCUUUUAUACGAGGAGAAUAAAUGCUACGUGUAGCAUGAUGCCUGUACCUUAUGAAUAAGCAUCGGCUAACUCCGUGCCAGCAGCCGCGGUAAUACGGAGGAUGCGAGCGUUAUCCGGAUUUAUUGGGUUUAAAGGGUGCGUAGGCGGUUUUUAAAGUUAGGGGUUAAAUGUCGGGGCUUAACCUUGAAUUGCCAUUGAUACUGUACGACUAGAGUGCAGUCGAGGUAGGCGGAAUAAGUGGAGUAGCGGUGAAAUGCUUAGAGAUCACACAGAACUCCGAUAGCGAAGGCAGCUUACCAGACUGCGACUGACGCUGAAGCACGAGAGCGUGGGUAGCGAACAGGAUUAGAUACCCCGGUAGUC